rnacentral:sRNA from 13 species
CUCCAUGUUCAGUAAUAUUAUUGGGAGUAAUAGUAGUGUUG